rnacentral:rRNA from 1 species
UACGAAGGGGGCGAGCGUUGUUCGGAAUUACUGGGCGUAAAGGGCGCGUAGGCGGCCAUCUAAGUCAGACGUGAAAUCCCCCGGCUUAACCUGGGAACUGCGUCUGAUACUGGACGGCUUGAGUAUGGGAGAGGGAUGUAGAAUUCCAGGUGUAGCGGUGAAAUGCGUAGAUAUCUGGAGGAACACCGGUGGCGAAGGCGGCAUCCUGGACCGGCAUUGACGCUGAGGCGCGAAAGCUAGGGGAGCAAACGGG